GGAGUUAGCCGGUGCUUCUUCUGCGAGUAACGUCACAGAUGUAAGGUAUUAACUUACACCCUUUCCUCCUCGCUGAAAGUGCUUUACAACCCGAAGGCCUUCUUCACACACGCGGCAUGGCUGCAUCAGGGUUUCCCCCAUUGUGCAAUAUUCCCCACUGCUGCCUCCCGUAGGAGUCUGGGCCGUGUCUCAGUCCCAGUGUGGCUGAUCAUCCUCUCAGACCAGCUAGGGAUCGUCGCCUAGGUGAGCCUUUACCUCACCUACUAGCUAAUCCCACCUGGGCUUAUCCAUCAGCGCAAGGCCCGAAGGUCCCCUGCUUUCCCCCGUAGGGCGUAUGCGGUAUUAGCAGUCGUUUCCAACUGUUAUCCCCCACAAAUGGGCAAAUUCCCAGGCAUUACUCACCCGUCCGCCGCUCGUCAUCUUCAAAGCAAGCUUUUGAAAUGUUACCGCUCGACUUGCAUGUGUUAGGCCUGCCGCCAGCGUUCAAUCUGAGCCAGGAUAACUCUGA
rnacentral:rRNA from 1 species